UCUCGAUUAGUAUAGCGGUUAGUACACGCUUGUCGGUAAUCCACGCCCGCGAAAGCUGGGUUCGACUCCCAGGUUGAGAG